UACGUAGGGUGCAAGCGUUGUCCGGAAUUAUUGGGCGUAAAGAGCUCGUAGGCGGUUUGUCGCGUCUGCUGUGAAAACUCGGGGCUUAACCCCGGGCCUGCAGUGGGUACGGGCAGACUAGAGUGCGUAGGGAGGAGCUGGAAUUCCGUGUGUAGGCGGUAAAUGCGCGAUAUCCGAGGGAAGGAACCGAGCCGGUAGGGCGGCAAGGCGGGGUCCUCUGGGCCUAACUGACGCUGAGGAGCGAAGGCAGUGGGGAGCAACAACGG
rnacentral:rRNA from 1 species